rfam:Salmo salar isolate Sally breed double haploid chromosome ssa18, whole genome shotgun sequence.
CUCCCUGUGGCUCAGUUGGUAGAGCAUGGUGUUUGCAAUGGUGUUUGCAACGCCAGGGUUGUGGGUUUGAUUCCCACAGGGGGC